AUUGAACGCUGGCGGCAUGCCUUACACAUGCAAGUCGAACGGCAGCGCGGGAGCAAUCCUGGCGGCGAGUGGCGAACGGGUGAGUAAUAUAUCGGAACGUGCUCAGUAGUGGGGGACAGCCCGGCGAAAGCCGGAUUAAUACCGCAUACGACCUGAGGGUGAAAGGGGGGGAUCGCAAGACCUCUCGCUAUUGGAGCGGCCGGUAGCAGAUGAGGUAGUUGGUGGGGUAAAGGCCGACCGAGCCUGCGAUCUGUAGGUGGUCUGAGAGGACGACCAGCCACGCUGGGACUGACACAAGGCCCAGGCUCCUACGGGAGGCAGCAGUGGGGAAUUUGGGAGAGUGGGCGCAAGCCUGAUCCAGCAAUGCCGCGUGCAGGAAGAAGGCCGUCGGGUUGUAAACUGCUUUUGUCAGGGAGGAAAACCUCUAGGCUAAUAACUUGGGGGGAUGACGGUACCUUACGAAUAAGCACCGGCUAACUACGUGCCAGCCGCCGCCGUAA
rnacentral:rRNA from 1 species